UUCUGGUCUAGAAGCAGUGUUCUGAGUCCUCAUUGGAAAGCGGGCCUAGGGGACUGAGGUGUCUUCUGCCUCCCCGUCUAGCCUCUGGGGCUCUGGCGCUGUGUGCCCGUGACGUUCCUCACCCCGUACCCUCUACUCGGUUCUCACUGUUCUCGGGAACGGAAAUGUCCUCUAAAGCUGCUGUCCCCAUCCCCUGGGCUUGCGGACUGGUACCAGUCAGUGGCCUUUUAGGAACCAGGGCCACACAGCAAGAGGCCGGACAGGAGGUGAGCAGCGCUCAAGAAUCCAGUUGGCUCAGCCCUGCUACCCAGUGGAUAAUUUAAUGUACUGCAAAAUUCUUAGUCCAAGAAUUGUCUCCAAAACACAAAAACUUUUCUGAGAUCUGAAUCUUGUUUUAGACCUCUCCUUUGAGUGGUGAAGAUGAUCCUUGAUCAUGCGAAGAAGGAACAGAUGAAGAAAAUGUAGUGUUCAUAACU